GUACUAGCUUUGGUAGCACAUAUACUAAAAUUGGAACAAUACAUAGAAGAUUAGCAUGGCCCCUGAGGAAGGAUGACACACAAUUUCGUCAAGCGUUCCAUAUUUUU
ensembl:snRNA U6 U6 spliceosomal RNA